UUCACCUUAGGGCCGCCGGGGAUCCCUUACGCCUUGCCACAGGCUUUGGAAUGGGCUGUGUGUUUGCAAGCCCACCAGGCUGGACCAGACGGCUCGGAGCUUGCUGCGGGUUUGCUGCCGACGACCUGGGCCUGGGGUCCGCUUGGCCCCCGCCUCUGUCAUGAGUGCUCCAACUGACCGGGGAAGGGGCUGGAGCGCUGAAUUGGGCAGCCUUUCCUGGACUUCCCUGGGUGUUCUCGAAGGCAGUGAGAGUAAGGAAGCGGGUUUUUAGAUGAUGUUCUCGGCUAGAGGACAUCAGGUUGCAGUAGGUGUUGCUACGGGGGGAGGGUGUUGUGCUUGACCCCCAGCCUCAGAGUAACUCAGCUGGGACAUGGAGCAGAAGGUCUUUUUGUGAACGUGUUCCACAGAGAGAAGAAUGAAAAAAAAUAAUUUUAAACGUGAAAUGCUUACUCUUGAAGUUAGGAAUUUCGAUUCCGUGUUUUGUAAAGGCAAGCCCUGAAGAACGAGAGCCAGGAGUGUCUCUGGAACUGUAAUGACUUCAUAUGUGCAGAACUAGGCCUGAAACGGUUCACUUGAUGAUGCUUAUUUUCUCUCUCUUUAGAUUUUGUGGUGGAUGCAACCCGCAAGGGUAACAAAAUCCGUUUUGCAAAUCAUUCAGUAAAUCCAAACUGCUAUGCAAAAGUUAUGAUGGUGAACGGCGAUCACAGGAUAGGGAUUUUUGCUAAGAGAGCCAUCCAGACGGGUGAAGAGCUGUUUUUUGAUUACAGAUACAGCCAGGCUGACGCCCUCAAGUACGUGGGCAUCGAAAGAGAAAUGGAAAUCCCUUGACGUCUGCUACCUCCUCCUUCCCCUCCUCCUUUCUGGAACAGCUGCCUUAGCUUCAGGAACCUCGAGUACUGUGGGCAAUUUAGAGAAAUAAAAUGCAGUUUGAAAUUCUGAAUUUGCAAAGUACUGUAAGAAUAAUUUAUAGUAAUGAGUUUAAAAAUCAACUUUUUAUUGCCUUCUCACCAGCUGCAGAGUGUUUUGUACCAGUGAAUUUUUGCAAUAAUGCAGUAUGGUACAUUUUUCAACUUUGAAUAAAGAAUACUUGAACUUCC